CCGUAGCGAACAGCUCAGUAACACGUGGCCAAGCUACCCUAUGGACGUGGACACCCUCGGGAAACUGAGGCUAAUCCGCGAUACGGCUCCCACGCUUGAAUGCGGGGAGCCGGAAACGCUCCGGCGCCAUAGGAUGCGGCUGCGGCCGAUUAGGUAGACGGUGGGGUAACGGCCCACCGUGCCGAUAAUCGGUACGGGAUGUGAGAGCAAAUAGCCCGGAGAUGGAAUCUGAGACAAGAUUCCAGGCCCUACGGGGCGCAGCAGGCGCGAAACCUUUACACUGCACGCCAGUGCGAUAAGGGGACCCCGAGUGCGAGGGCAUACAGUCCUCGCUUUUGUACACCGUAAGGAGGUGUACGAAUAAGGGCUGGGCAAGACCGGUGCCAGCCGCCGCGGUAAUACCGGCAGCCCGAGUGAUGGCCGCUGUUAUUGGGCCUAAAGCGUCCGUAGCCGGCCGAACAAGUCUGUCGGGAAAUCCAUCCGCUCAACGGAUGGGCGUCCGGCAGAAACUGUUCGGCUUGGGGCCGGAAGAUCCGAGGGGUACGUCCGGGGUAGGAGUGAAAUCCUGUAAUCCUGGACGGACCGCCGGUGGCGAAAGCGCCUCGGAAGGACGGACCCGACGGUGAGGGACGAAAGCUGGGGUCUCGAACCGGAUUAGAUACCCGGGUAGUCCCAGCCGUAAAC
rnacentral:rRNA from 1 species